ACAAUAGACACAAUACACACACGUUCAAAAUAUUGCUCCAUUAUUCACUUUAGUUCACUCUCAUAUUCUUUUAUAUCACCACUGCUCUCUUUCAGUACUUUGAGAAAUAACAGAUAUAGCAUCAGAGCAGCUUAAGCGACAUGUUUCUCACCUGUUGCUCUGUAUUUCAAAGCCGAGCCCGCCGAUGUCGGAGCUGCAGCGGCUCUCCUCGUGGAGGUAAGUGGUUAGCCUGUUAGAUCGGGAGCUAGCAUUAGCAUGGACGACAAAAGGUUAAGUGCUAAUAAACUUUUUUUUUUUCUCCAGAUAAACAACUCGUCUUACCGACGUGACUCCUCUCCUUAGUGAAGUCACUUGGCUCCAGACUUCCAGCGGGUAAGGGCGCUGGCUUUCUUUUCCUCUUUCCACGGCUUAAUUCGGGUUUUUCUCCUUAUUUUCUCCGUCUGCUAAGCAGUUAGCCGCCAUCACUCCCAUGGCUGUUGAGGGCUCGUGAACUGAGCGGUGCAUUCAAAUGCAAUAGGAGAUUUUAAACUUCACCAAAGUAACAAGUAAAAAUAAGAAAAUAAAUACGCUCCCUUCUUUCUCUCAUCGAAUUGUGCUCAUUUUACAUCUGGGCUACACAUGAUCAUUUGAAUAGACGACAAAGCAGUAAAACGCUUAGACAGAAAACAUGGUUGAAGCAUGGGACCAAAGUGGGUUGGAUAUACUCAAAAGGCUGUCUAACUGCCAAAUUGCAAUACUGUGAGAUGGUGCAUGCUAACAGGACUUGUUUGUUGAUUUGUAAAACAGUAAGCAAUAGUAUGGUGGCCGAGAACUGCCACUGCUGCAAAUAAAAAAAGGAUGCAAAAAAAAAGAAGCCACGAAAGAAGUUACUGAUGAAAAAAAAAAAAAAACCUGCUGCAAAUAAUAAUAAUAAAAAAAAAGGAAAUAGGAACGGUGCAGAUUUUUUAUUUAAAAAAAAAAGGCACAACAGAAGUUAAUAACAAAAAAAAGGGGUGAUGCAAAAAAAAAAAAGUUACUGCGAAAAUAAAAGUAUGCAAAUAAAAGAAAAAAAAAAACACAAUGGAAGUGAGCUGCCGGGGACCAAUAAUGAAAAAAAGUGAGGGGUCUGUGUACUUAUUUCUAUGAGUAAAGCAACUGAACUCCAUUCUCCUCUCUUGGGUGGUCUUUUGGGGCGUAGUGAGUUUUUUGUGAACACGGCCAAAGCGGAGUUAAACAAUAACCUUUCCACUUACUUCUUUGCUCGUCUUCUUGCCAUCAUCCUCUGUGGCUAGAUCAUAAAACACUGGUAUCAUCGUUAUUGGACCCCAGCAGCUCACUUGCGAUGUGGCUUUUUUUAUUUGCAUUCUCUUAUUUUUGCAGUAAGUAACCUUUUUUUUUUUUUUUUUUUUCAUUUUCACUUAUUUUUUUGCAUCUUUAACAUCUGUUGUGUUUCUUUUAUUUUUUAUCUGCACCAUUUCUUUUUUAAGUGUAAAGAAAUGGUGCAGAUGAAAAAAAAAAAAAACAUUAUUUAUUUUUAUUUGCAGCAGUGGUGGUUCUUGGCCACCGUACAAUGGAGCACAAAACUACAGACAAAGAGUAUCUCAGUAAGUCCUGGUUAUUGAUAAUCAAAAUAUGGCCACCCUUCACCAAGGUGCAGCCCAUUUGGGACCCCAUUUAAACCCUAUUGAAAUAGAGUACAGAAAGGCUGAGCCCCAAUCAGGAGUCCCAUUCAGAAACAGAAAGUAAACUGAGUUACUGAAUAGGUUUAAAGUGGUUUAAAGUCUAUUCUAAUGGGCCCCGUUUAGAACCCAUAAAGAGUCUAUUUCUAGGCCAAUCUGGGAAGUGAGAAAAGAAGUGUAUGGCUGUGAAUAGGCAUCCUAAAAAUAGUCGUUCUGUACCUGUGGUAAUAGUUGAGCUUGACAUUCACUUCCACACAGUCUUGUGUUAAAGAGAUAGAGACAGCUUGUAUCAAGCCCUACAAGAUCACACAGUCUUGGUAGAUUAUGGUCUUACAAAUACUAUUUCAGGUAUUUUAUUCAGAGGGAUAGUGACUAAAAUAGGAAGUUACAGCUGACUUUGUAGUACAAGGACAAAAGUAAGAAUGAAUUUUCUGGCUGCUUUCAUUUUUGUGUGACUGGAAUUCAACUCAUGUUACAAGGUCGUCCUUAUCAUGCCUAAAACUAAAACAAAUAUAUAAUACUGUUUAGUCAUCUUCUUUUGAUGGUGUCUGGUUUUAUGUAUCUGUUAAGUAGUAAAACACACUCUACAGAAAAUAAAUCGACCAGAAAUUUCUAAUUAGUACAUUCAUGAAGACAUUUGUCAAGCCAAUUGUUCAUGCCUUGAAAUAAUCAGCUUUGAAUAGCCACUUUGUUAAGAGUCACCCAUUCAUCCUUGCACAGUGCAAAGUUCUGUAUGCUUGAAUGUAUUUGCUGCUCACAAUGUCAAAAAGGUGAUGCUGUGCACAGAAAUUAACCCCCUGCAGAAAUAGCAACCAAUUUACAGCAAACCAGUGUGCUUUGUGUAUUACUUACUCUGCUGCAGGUUGCGCAAGAUUUCGUCAGGUGCCCGCGCCAAACGAGGCAUGCAUGAUUGCACCACUUGUUGAAAAUGUAGACUCUACUCCUCAAUUUACUUGCUGCAGAUGGAAGCCAUAUACCUGUCCUGCAACCCCCAGAUAGUUAGAGGGAUUUAAUUAUCUGGAAGGAAGCUGGAAUAGCUCUGCAGCACCUGUCUGCUGGCGGUGCCUUUCCUCCUGAUUCUAUACAGAGAAGUGCAAAAUUAUCCUACACUCACAGUGUUGCAAACGCCUCGUGAAAAUAAUAUGAUUUUAUGCACAAAACUCUACAACUUUUUAUUUUAUUUUAAGAUGACCUCCUCAACUUUUUAAUCCAUUUGUUAACACUCAUUGUUGGGUGUGCAGAGAACAAGAAGGCUUUGAUCUGCAGGCUGUAGAGAGUCUUUUGUGAAUUCAGCGCUUGUCUCCAUCGGCAGCCUCAACAUACUGUAAAUGGUGUUAGAAACUAAGGUGAAGAAAAUCAAUAAAUUCAACGGAUUACAAGGCAGUACAUAGAGGAGGGCCAUGUGGGGAGAAUUCCACUAUCUCUGGCCUGUUAAUGACUGCCUGCCCCUUUGAAUUACAAAAGUGGAGACAGGGUGAGGAGUGCAGGAGAGUUUCUCUACUUCUUCUUGGCAGAGUGAUUACACCUGAGUGUCAACAAGGACCAAAUCAAUCAAUCAGGGUGUUUAUGUGUCUUUUACAAAUGCAAAAACUGAAAAACAUUGACGCAACAGGAGAUUUCCAGGAUAUAACUGUCUUGUUAUCUAUCUAAUAGGGAAAGGUUGAACAAAUGUUUGGUGCCAAACAACUUGGUUGAAGUAAAAGCUAAAGUCGUAGUGCACUUAUAGUAUAAGUGCACCAGUUAUGUCAUUUAAGAUGUACAUGUUGUGUCAAAGUUUUGUUGAAGGAUGCCAUAGGUCGGAUCUAUUACGCAGAUCUGUAUUUCCAUCUGCAUGCCUUCCAUCGGUUUUAUGUGCACACAUUAAAAGCCAAGGCAGGGAGCAGUAAUGAUCCCCAGGGAACUGAGCAGAGUGACAAACCAUAUGACACUGAAAAAAACACACUGUAGGCAGGUGUUAUCGGCUGGUUUCUAAUUGUCCUUCACUUUCUUCCCUUUAGAUUUGUACUUCUUCACUGAACUAAUGUAACUUACUGAAGGUUUAUAUUUAACUCACAGAUUGUCUUCAUUUAAUCAGAACAGUGUGACAUUUAGCUGAAUAAGAAGCAACUUGAUGAACCACAAGGCUCUCUUUAUUCUACCAGACAGGUCUGCUACAGUAGAUACAGGCCUCAAGAAGAAGAAAAAGAAAAAGAAGGACAACAACAACAAGAGGAACAAGAACUUUAUUAAUCCCAGAUAGGAAUUUCAAGGUCAUUACACACACAUAGCUCAUUUUCACACUUUGUUGGGUUUAAGUCCAACCCCUGUCCAAGAAGAUAAAUGUGAAUUACACCUGGGAAUUGGCGCUGCUUGUGAUGGAGAUCCUCUGAUCUUUGUCAUCUCGAGUCCAGCACUCUCUAUUACUCUCCCUGUGACCAUAAUAAAAG
rnacentral:lncRNA from 1 species